UCGAUUGCAGAAAGGUUUGAUUCUUUUUCUAAAUGAAUAUUUUGAAGUGAUCGUAGCUGCUCCCACCAUUGCCAACGGGGCCACCCCGGAGCGUCUGCGGGAACAGAGAGAAAGAGAUCAUGCCUUUUGAUGGAAGAGGAAAAGCCAUGAUUCCUAUCCUUCCUUGAGUCAAGCUCGGGCUGCUUGUCGCCUGGAUCCAGAGCUGUGUGACUGUUGACAAGCACCUUCUCCUCUCUGAACCUGCAACGAAGGGGAGUUACAAAGGUUCAGCAGGCCCGGCGGGCCCCCAGCUAGAAGUCCAUCCUAUCCGACUUCAGACUGACACAGUAAUAGCAAAAUGCCUAUGUGGGACGGGGUUGGAGGGAAGCACCUCUCUUCACAGAUGGGGAGCCACGGCCCCGGGGUGGGAAGAGAUCUGUGCGAGGUGCCACUCAGAGGGUGGAGAGCAAGCACGGUGCCUUAAAUUCCCUCGGAAGCAGCCAGGCUUAGCAGAGUCCUCGGCCCAAAUGAACAUGAACGCAUUUAA